GAGAGGGGCACGAUUGCACCGAAUACUGCUAAUUUUCGCCACCUGGUUAAACCCCAGGGCCCACUCG
rnacentral:tRNA from 1 species